GGGAGUGUGGCCGAGUGGUCCAAGGCGCCCGCUUCAGGUUUAUCAACGCUAGUUGUGGCUUGAAUUGCUGGUCUCGAAAGAGGCGUGAGUUCGAACCUCACCGCUCUCA
rnacentral:tRNA from 1 species